rnacentral:rRNA from 1 species
GGCAGCAGCUAUAUCACUCUGCAACUCUAGCAGCCCACUGAAGCUAAGCAGGUGUGAGCCUGGUCAGUACCUGGAUGGGAGACCUCCUGAGGAAAACUAAGGUUGUUGCUGGAA